GAAGGGAAGAUACAAAGGGUGCAAGAAUCUUGUCUAUAUAGGUGCUGGAUCCCUGUAAGCAAGGACUGCAACUCGGUCAAGUAAUCCUGCGUUGGAGUAAUCAUGGGUCAGCGGCUGCUGUUAUAUUUGAGUGAAUAAGAUGAUAUUUGGGUAUAAUCAUUUGAAUAUCACGAGUUACCAAGCUGAAAAAACUAUCGAUCGCUGAAUAUGGAGAAAAUGGAGUUGUCAUUCUUGAUCGAGGUUUUAAGUCCGUAAAUGGUGCUAUUAUAUCAACCAUUUGUCCUUCAUUCUCUUCGGUAGUCCUGAGUACAGAGCAUGACCACCAAAGCCGCUGAUUGGCUGCAGCAGUCAUCUGCCGUCCGCAAGUUAUGUAACACCAGAGUGCCG